AACACAUUCAAGAACCUCCAGAAGCUAACUAGGUAAUUAGCUAAAAGCUAUUUAGUCAUAGUUAGCCAAUGCUAGCGGCUUUUACCUUCUGCACAGAUACCAGCCCUGUUCUUAGCCUGGAUAAUACUCGCCAGUCUACUAGUAUCGGACUGUCUCUCCACAACAACGCCGGAUUCCUGCCGUAAUCCCUGGACCACUACUUCUGAUCUUCACAGCUAGAUCACAGCUUGCAGCUAACUAGCUCACAGCUAGCUUGCACUUAUCGUGGCAUCCAGUACCGAAGCUAUCCCUGAGGCCCACCUCCCGGCCUACUCAGCUGUUCUCCCGAACCCCACUCAUACACGGCUAGAGCCCAAUACUCCACCUGAUCCUUGCUGUAAACUAUGGACCUUGGCACCGGUUCAUCGCUGCUACCGAUUGGCUAUAGUGGAUCUAUAGUGGAUAACGCCACUGCCACGAAGGUAGCACCAGUUAGCCGUGAGCCAGGCGCAUCUCCCUGCUAGCAUUCUAAAUUCUACCUGCCCCCCACCGCACCACCACGACUGGUCUGCCGACGAAUACUCCAUCCGCUGUGCCUUCAACCGGCCUCCGUCGGAGGGCUACUAACUUUAAACGCUGUGUAGCCCGCGUGCUAGCGUAAUGGCGGCUUCCCUGUACCAUCUACUGCUGCCUUCUGGACACUAUUAUCACUUGGCUACAUAGCUGAUGCCUGCUGGACUGUCGAUUAAUCACGCUCUGGCCAUCUGAGGGAGCUCUUAAUCACCCCAGACAUCAGCAGUGCCACUGCAUUCCCACUGCAGUACUUGAUGGACUCCAGCAAAGAUAAUGGCAUCUGUUUUGUCACCAUACUGGUGAUAAGGUUUCUAUCGGAGAUCAGACCUUCAGCCCUAGAUGGACCAUCCCAACAGGCAGCAGAUCUGACAGAAACAUCUCAGCAACUCAUCAGACUAGUCCUGUCUGAGUUCUGUCUGCAUCCAGAUUCUCCAGGACAUAGGCAUAUUCCCAGAACCUGAACAUCCAAAGGGUUCAGAGGUGUACAUAAAAAACUCAUGGAGGAGUUUGGCUCUUAUGAAACCCUGCAAGCAGCUAUUUCCUCCCAGGACCCUGCAUUUGACAGAGUCCUGGUAAAGUCCUUGACCCAGCAGCUGGUACAGGGAUGCAAGGAGGCGUCAAGACCAGCUUCUGCUGCAACAAACCCAUCAGACCAGGCUGAGACAGAGAGGGGGGCUGAGCAGAAAGCAUGAAGGAGCUUCCUUUGCUUUUCAAUGACCAAACUCAGGAUCAACUUCAAGUAUAGCAGGGAGUUAGCAUUUGUUUUUUGUUCCAGUUAGGUGCUGAUGUUAUUGAUGUGGCUAUGAUAGGACAUAUACAUUAAAUGUUUUAUUCAUCACUAAAUUGUUGCCUUGGAUUCAGAAGUGUUCCAUUUAUUUAUUCUCUGUACCAUUUUCUUUACCUUUCAUCUGUUAGCGUUCCAAGAGAGCAAACAAAAAGGACUGUCAUUCAGUCCAGGAACAGACUGAGAUUCCCUCUACUGAUGGACAUUGCAUAGAGCGUGAAAUGGGAGGAUCCCCCGGAUGACCAAAAUAAAGUCGUGGAGAACAUGAAGGAUGAAACAGAGACACACGAGACCAACAAGAACAGGACAGGAGGCAAGAGUCUUCUCAGACACCCGGGUGUGGUUUCCGGGAAAGGGGAUCUAUCAUUGAGCAGCUGGAGAAGGAGGCUCAGAGGACUCUAAUGCCUUCUCUCAAGAUUGGGACAUGCUGUGCCCCAAUACUCCUCUCCUUCCUGAGGAGUCUAACUGAUGAGCAAGUCCCAUGUUUUUUUCCAACCUCACAUACAACAACUCUGAAUUUAUAGUCAUAGUGCACCUUCUAACCACAAAUGGGAUUUCAAACACUACACUUAACCCUAACAUCACUGUAACCACACACCUAACUCUUCCUGUAAAUCAAGAACAAAAUAUCUCAUGGACUUGCUAAUUGCUUAAAUAAAUACAUGUUUAUUUUCCCUGACAUGGCUAUCUAGUGACUCCACUAACUCAACACCAGUGUGCAGGUAAAAUAUGUUUCCUUUCUUUUCUUUUCUCUAGCCAAU